GCCGCGUUCGUCUAGAGGCCUAGGACGCCGCCCUCUCACGGCGGUAACACGGGUUCAAAUCCCGUACGCGGUA
rnacentral:tRNA from 1 species